UGAUCUGUGGUGUAACGGUUAGCACACGAGACUUUGACUCUCGGGGAAGAGGUUCGGUUCCUCUCAGAUCUACUA
rnacentral:tRNA from 1 species